AUUGAACGCUGGCGGCAGGCCUAACACAUGCAAGUCGAGCGGGGUUUUCGGACCUAGCGGCGGACGGGUGAGUAAAGCGUAGGAAGCUGCCCGAUAGAGGGGGAUACCAGUUGGAAACGACUGUUAAUACCGCAUAAUGUCUACGGACCAAAGUGUGGGACCUUCGGGCCACAUGCUCUCGGAUGCGCCUACGUGGGAUUAGCUAGUUGGUGAGGUAAUGGCUCACCAAGGCGACGAUCUAUAGCUGGUUUGAGAGGAUGAUCAGCCACACUGGAACUGAGACACGGUCCAGACUCCUACGGGAGGCAGCAGUGGGGAAUAUUGGACAAUGGGCGCAAGCCUGAUCCAGCCAUGCCGCGUGUGUGAAGAAGGCCUUCGGGUUGUAAAGCACUUUCAGCGAGGAGGAAGGGUGGUGUGUUAAUAGCUCAUCAUUUUGACGUUACUCGCAGAAGAAGCACCGGCUAACUCUGUGCCAGCCGCCGCGGUAA
rnacentral:rRNA from 1 species